AUACUCACCUGGCAGGGGAGACACCGUGAUCACGCAGCUGGUUUUCGCAGAGUAAGGUUCAUUCUUAUCACUCCAGGUGUGCUGACCCCUGUGCUUUUCCCAAAUGCGGGGAGCUCGACUGCAUCGUUUGCAGUAACGGGGGACUCUGUUUGCACUCUUCCUUG